CGGCUGCGCAGCGCCGCGGGGCCGCCCGCAGCUGCUGCGGAGCGGUCGCCGCUACCGCUCCCCGCGGUGCCCGGGGCGGGUCUGCCAACCUCGGCCGAGCCACACGACCCGCGGCGGGCCGAGACGCCGCCCCCGUAGGAUCGCGUGUUAAAGCAGAACCUCCCCCCGCCCUCAGCCGCAGUUGAAAUGAGUUCUGCUGCUAUCGUAAGUCAUGCUACGGCCACACACCGGGAUGGAGCCGGUGAGGUAGCGCACCGGCUGGGCACGCGUCGUGUCGGGUGAGUGCUCUCAGCUCGCUGCAGCGCGGGGAGGCCUCGGGCAGGAGCCCGACCGUCCGUGCGCCCACUGCUGCUGCGGUGCCCAGUCCAGGGUAACCCAGAGGAGCGCUGCGUGGGCUGCGGGGUGACGCAUCUCUCCUGCGAUGCUCACAGGCGACUGUAUGGGCAGUGCUGAUUUCCUACCACCGUCCGACACCAGCGGUGCUCUCCUUCCGGCUGCCUGUGGCAUCGUGUCAAGGCCCCAGGGCAGCUAGUGUUGCCCAUACACGAGGUCCUUCUAAGCCUUCACCCAAUGGCCGUCCAUCCGACGGACCGCUGCUCCCUCCUUGCCACAGCCCGUGGGCCUAUCUCACACAGAGCAGUCCAGCUGGCACUGCCCCAAACCGAAGGAGAUGGCGUCUUCUCCUGACUUACACAGAGCCACAGGAGCAGUGCCACAAAACAUAGCCACAUUACAGGGAGGCAUCCUGAUGGCCAAGUGGGGCUGCAGUCAGGCUGUACACAUUUCUCCACGUGCAGACAAACUUGUGUAGUGUACUAAAGUCUAUGGCCAUUUUCAUCUCAUAUGGACAAAAAAAAAAAAAAAAAAAAAAAGCAGGGUUUAUGUGAAUUCUUUAAUUAGACAUGAAAUUGCCAUGCAAAGACGCUAAGGAAGUAUGCGGUUAUGCAACUGGAGUCCUAGAGGAAAAAGUAAACAAUUUUACUGAGAAAAACAGAUUGAAAACAAUUAUGACAUAAAGAGGGAAGUGGCUGGAGGUUUGGGCUCUUUUUUCCCCCUUCUCUUCUGAAACCUAAGAACAUCUGCAUGUCAUCUUCAACUUGGUCCCUCUUUGGUGUUUCUCAGCACAUACUGGUUCAGUACCAUGGUCAUUCCUGACUGGAACUUGGUACACAGCUCUGUACAGGAGCUCCAGUGUAAGGGGCCGUAGUGUCAGCACUUCUCUUGGUCACUAAGGGAAUGUAUCUCAUCUGAGCCAAGCCCUUAUUUAUGCCAAACUUUUGCAAGUUAUUCGACAUGCCUAGAAGCUCCAAACCCCCCAUGGUGUGCUGCUGAAAGGCAGCUGGCAUGACCAAGCCCCUGGCCCUGCACGCACCAUGGAUCUGGGUCCACCACCGGGCAGCUUGGUGCCCAGGGCUCCGCUGGGCAUGGGGUGUCCUCUGUUGUAGCACCAGGGUCUAGCUCACAGCAUCAUGGCCAGCCCUCCCUGGCAUACCGUGCUAGGCUAAGCAAGGUGACUUGGCUAGUUUGGCAAAGGGAAUAAAGCCUUUAAAAAUGUGAUGUGGUGAGAUAGCAUUAAAAUCUAGGAUGUGUGCCUUCAAGAGUCAAGGAUACAGCUUAAAACAAAAACAAAAAAAGAGCCAGAAGAAUAGGAAGAGAAGGCACACCAUGUGAUUGUAAGUUACUGAGAAGGAACUUCACAUGUGAGCUGAGGAAAUGCAGCAUUGUAAAUGUGCUAUUUAUAUAGUGCUGAAAGUGUACUUUUACAGGGACAUAAACACUCUUCACUCCAGUGCAUAUAAUCGGCCCUUCUGAAGCAGAUCAAGACGGUGCCCUGUUAGAGCCAAUUCAGUCUAAGUUCAAAAACCAAGCAAAUCUUAACUUUGAGAAAUUUCAAACCAAAAUUUGGUCUGGGCUGAUGUCACUCAACUGGUCCAAGCCUUGCCAUUAAGAACAUGAUUUUCCCAACUCUGCAGCUCUUACAUGACCCAGUAAAAGAUGUGAAGAAAAGAUGUCAAAUGCCACCAGCACCAACUGGAGAGCACCUUGGUCGAACCCUGGUCUGAGAUAGUGAGAGAUUUUAAAUGAGCCAGCCUAACAGCAUGGAAGGAGACCAGCAAGUAAAGUGUUAUUGUGAGGAGAGCGAGGACUGCUUCAAAUCAGACAGAGCUUGCCAGAACAUAAUGGUGCCUUGUAACACAGCUAAUCAUGCUGAAUAAAACAGAGCCUUAAACACAUUCAGGACUAGAUUCUCAAUGGAUCCUUCCAUUUAGUGUGUGGCAUAAUUUUUUUUUUCUAACCAACUGUAUUUUGUAUCACAUGGGAUGGUUAAUACAAUUCUGAAAAAAAAAAAUCAUAAAAUAUGAAUAAAUAACCGUAAGUUGUUUACACAAAUAAACAUUCUGGGGCAUGGGAUUUUAUUCAGUAAUUGCCUAUUGGUCAUAAAACAUGCCUGAGAGCCCCAAGUACUAUUUUAUUGCAUUUAGCAGCAACAAUUAGCCUCUCAAUUUUUCACUGUUUUAACAGACACGAUGGGUUUCUACUGUGAGAAGAGAUUAAAAAAAAAAAAGCAACGAACAAACACAACCAAAAUGCAGGCUCUUCUAUACAGCCAUACACUCCAUAGGCUUACGUGCAAAAAGCCUGAGCCAUGUUUGAUGAGGUGAAGGAACAAACAGGCAGCAGACCAUUUUCCCUCCUACAUGAGGGACAACCAAGAGGAGAGGGAGCAGUGAGGAGUUUUAAGAUUCUCUCAGAGGUACCACAGGCAAUUCCUUACAGCUCCAGAUCAGAAUAAGGGCAAAACUGGAAACAACAGGAAAAGCUACAGUCCUUAAUGUAUCACUUGCUUUAUUCCAUUGCCCAUGAGCCAACAGAAGUAGAAGAAAUCCCCAGAGAACAAGAGCCCAGAGAACUACUGAGUUAGCACAUCUAAUGCUUUCAUGUUGGCUUAAGUUAAAAUUGCCCAGAAUUCUGGGUUUUGUUCAGGUUGGAUAUUAGGAAAAACCUUCUCUGAAGGAGCAGUAAUGUAUUGGAACAGGCUGCCCAGAGAAGUGGUAGAGUCACUGUCCCUGGAGGUGUUCAGCAAGCACGUAUAUAUGACACGUAGGGACGUGGUUUAGUGAGCAUUAUGGUGGAUGGGUUGGCGGCUGGACUUGAUGAUCUCAGAGGUCUUCUCCAAUCUUAAUGAUCCUAUGAAUUUUUACAUUGAAUAAUUUCUGUAAAACAGAGAGCGUUAAGUUUUGCAAGAGAGAGUAUUUGUGAGCUGGAACAUUUUUUCUUUGCAGAAGAUUAAUCAAGAUAAAUAAGUCAUUUGGAAACACUUGUAGUAGAUAUUCAGGUAGACACAGCCACCGCAAGGUAGAAAGUCACAUCAAGAGGACUCACUUACUUUGUGUAGACUCUUGUAGCUGCAAGACAAGAGAAGUGCAGCUGUGACAGAAAUUGGGGGAUUCCACUCAGGUGAACUGCAGAUGUGAGCAAAGAUACACACACUGAUGCAGCACAGUUAGCUUGCAAUUUGGAUAAUUAACCCAUGGGUAAUCAAGUAUUGAUGGCAUUGCACUAACUGCAGAAGCUAUGUCCUAGAAACAUUAUUGGGAAUAUCCAUCCUGUAUCUUCACCUCCUAGAAGUCCGACCCAUUUGGACAGCUGACUGACCUACUUCCAGCGUGUCACUGCUCCCAGCACACCAGCUCCCAGCCCCAAACACAUGGUUGCUUCCAGCAAGGGAGAGAAAAGGAGGCAGGGGCUACAGAUGUUCCUCACGCAUACAAUCAGCACGCCCCCCCCCCACCAAAGUUUAAUAAGGAUUGUUAGUACAUCAUUGUAGCUGGUAAUUGUGUAGGUACACAUGGUAAUUGCAUGUAUUUGCACUAAUUAUGUAAAUGCACAAUAAUUAAAGCUCCAGGGUUUUCAUGGUAAAUUUUUAAAACACUCAUGGAUUUGUCAUGGCAAAAGUGUCAGUCAUGUAACCUAGUGGGGAAGGAAAGGAGGAGGAGGCUCAGGAGUGCACACUUCUUAAAUAAAAACAGAUAUUUUUGCAUGAAUAACUGGAGAGAGGAUACUAUUUUAUCAUCAAACAGCGCUGUCAUGCCUGGGCACAACUUCUUUCAGACUCUCUUAUCAGUUAGAAUAAUAACAAUUAAAAAUUUUUUAAAAAAUGGUUUUCAUGAUAGGUCAGAACUAAACACUCAGCCACCAACCUGACUUGUGCUUAAGCAGAGAUAUUCCUCCCUGUGCCACCUCAUUGCAGGUGUUCUUGCUGGACCACACAGUGCCUCUGCAGCCUUGCUAUCUCAUGCAGGUGCCCAGCUUACUCGGGGCCACUGCAACCAACAGCCAACACAAGAGCUUUAAGCUACCGAGGCCAAAUACCUUAAGACAAGACACAAAGGGGAGCUUCCUCAGGAUUUACAUCACAGCUUUAAGAGGAUUUAGGGGAUUCAUAGCCACACAGUUACUUAUUUAAACCUAACACUAUAUACGUGGGUCAAAAAAUCCCGCAUCCAUGGCAACUACCUUCAUUGUGCCCCAGCAGAUUCCGUAUGGUUCAGGUGUUGUUUUCUUUUAGGCAUUUGAAGACACUUAAAAAAUUUUAAAGCUAAAUUAAAACAAAGCAAAAAGCUACAUGAUGAAAAUUGAACAAAUCUAGUGAUACAAAAAUUAUUUUAAAAGCAGAUUUGAUUUUGGGGGUCCAAUUAAACAGGAGAAGCUGUCUAGUAUAGUGACUAUUUUCUACUUCAUUUCUAAGAAUAUUUUCAGGAUUUUUUUUAUUUCCUGUGGUGUUAAGAAUGUCUGUAUUUGUGCCUGAUAGAGAUCAAAGACAGUAAAGCAUCAUUUUAAAAUGUUGGAUUUGCAGUAACAUGUUUGUUAAGUCUUUGAAAAUCUUGAAGGAGUACAGGAGGAUUUCUCACAACUGUACUCUUUCUGAGAAAAAAUAAAUAAAUAUUGCUAAAACAGUGAUCUGUUGAAUUAAUUUUCUUUUAGUUCUAUGAUAAAUUCAUCUGUUCCUCAGAUAAUGGGUAGAGGGUGUCUAAAAUUCUUAAAAUAGAGGGCUUGUGUUUGGGACUGGAAAGCAGGCGAGUUGGGUUAUAGCUGUAGCACUUUGUCCAUCGACUGUAGGGAAUUUAUUCUGGCUUGUUUUUGUUGUUCAGCAGCAUUGUGAGGCUAAGUUAGUGCUUUAAUUUUUGUUAAUGCAGGACCAAAGGUCUUUCAGAUGUUUAUGUCUAGUGGCAACUCGUAUGAUAAAACAUUUGCUUCCAGCAUCAUGACUACGCAGACCGAGUAAGCCUGCAAUCCGGCAAGGUCCCUCAGACCUGGUGCUCCUCCACAUGCCACACAAAUGUGUUUGCAUAAGUAGGAAAAAUGCCCAGUUUAUGAAAACUGUUCUGGUUAAUCAGAUUUGCAAAAGCAGUUCGGUGGUACAGCUGACAUUCGGAUUCCUUCACAAGAAGAGUUGUAAGGUUGUCUUUUCUGAAAAUCAUGUCCACGGUGCCUCAAGUUGAUAGCACGUGCAUGAAAACACCUGCAGUUAGCAACGGGCUUAUUUCCUACUUCUGUGUGAUUCUUUUGGUCUGUGUGAACAAUAUGAAUAAAUAUUGUUAAAUAUAAGUAGAUCUAAAUAAAUACAGAGAUAUGCAUAUUGAUAUGUAUCACAGGUGGUGUUUGUGUAAUGAACUGAUUGCUCUGGGAUCCUUGCACGAGCAAUUCUGACACAAAUGACAAAUCAGUGCUGAGUGCUGGGACACGUGAAGGUGUCCUUUGCUGAAUAUUUGCAACCAGAACAUCUAGGAAAGGAAGAUAUUCUUAGAAAUCUAGGCAACAGGAUUUGCUCAAAAAUCCAUGGCAAAUUCAUGACCAGAACCUGUACCUGAACCUGUUCCUGACUUGUGAGCUGAACUGGUAGGUGCCUUGUUCCAACAAGUCAGCCACAGUACAGGUGUAUUUUAAAUCACUGUGUUGAGUCAUUCUCAUUUAAAUGUAGGCUAAACUACCUGAGUGUGCUGUCCUUGCUAACCUCCAUAAGCUUGCUGUGAAGUUUUCUCUCUACAGAGCAGACAGAGCUCAUCGGCUUUGUCCCUCAUGUGAGCCACAGCCAGGCAGCUAUUGCCUAUUUGCUGCAUCACAAUAUAUGGCUACAGAGGGAAGGGUGUGAGCAUUUGUUUGCUUGCUAGGCUUGUUCCUUUAAAGGGGAAGAAUUAUCCUGUUAUCUCAAGCAGAAUUACGCUUGUUCCACUCUGUCUUGCCCUCAAAAAUUUAAAAGCUGAAAAGUAAUCUUCUAAGUACUUUUUUAGCUAAAGGGUUUUCUUUAAUUUCUAUACAUAUGCAUUUUCCAGUAUACAUGCUGGAAUAGCAUCCAUUUGAUUUCCUGUUAUUGUACAUAAUUCUACAUUUUUUUGUCAGUGCUUUGUUUUAAACAAAACAGAGGAACAUAUAGCAAGUUUGUCUUGAAUUAACGGCUUCCUGACAUUUGAUGAAAUUCUUUAUACUAACUCUACUUUUCCAUAUUUCCUUUCUGGAUUUAUUUUGGCAGCUGGCAUGCAGCAGUUAGAUCCUAUCUGGUAGGUAGAGCAAAAAGAGUCCCAACAUGUAGAACUACCUUUAAGAGCACUAAGUACUACCUAGACUUCAACUUUAAAAACCUGGAAAAAUCCCAAACCCAGGUGAAAGAAUGUAUGGCAUACGUUAUAGGGCUACUGUUACUGGGGUUUGUUUAAAUACUGAAUAAAACUCAAUGGAGAUUUUCAGAAUUAUUUCUGUUCAGAUUCUACAGUAUUGUGGGGAAUGUAGAGGUUAGCAAUGACACCUGCAACACUGUGUCCUAUACUGUCUUGAUAAGACUUGAAGGUUAGAUCAGGGAAGUAUUGGGUACCCCAUCAAAGUCCUGAAAUCAAAAGGCACCUUUGCUAAAAGAAAUCUUAGUGGGGAGAAAGUACAAAUUCUCAUACUUCUGUAUGUUUUGUCACUUGCACAGGUAAAAGAAAACUAUGGGCAAUCUCCGCUAAUGCAUCUAUCCUCUACUCAGAGUUGCCUUCUUCAGUGAUUGUUUGGGGUCAAUCUCCGAUGACUGGAGGCUCUGCAGAGUGGGGAAGAGAAAACCAGAACCAGCCUCUCCAAAGAUAAAGAUGGAAAAGAGCAAACGAGCAAUAAAAAAUUCUCCCUUUACCCCUUAAA